CUUUCAGCUGCACAUCUCAAAGCCCUUUUCAAAGGCGUGGUCUCCUUUCUACAGAUGGUGUAACCCAGGCACAGAGAGAUUGAGGGGAGUCAGGGUCUGUGGGAGGCCGGAUGGAGGUGCUUUGUCUGGCCUGGUGGUCAGCAUGGUGUUCGGGACCCAGAGGCCAAUGGGCAGGUCAGGAGCCACGGUCAGCAGGAAACGAGCUGAAGUCGAAGACACAAAGACUAAAUGAAAGGAAGAAGAACAGAGAGGAGGAAAGAAAAUAAAUUAUUGGGAUGCCUGGGAGUCCCCUAGCUCUAUAUCCUCACCACUUGUUAGAGGAUGUUCAUUGGUGGUAAGUUCUGCCAUAGCCAUGUGCUACCCAGGGCAUCAACUCAAUUCUCCAUUUUCCUGCAUAGAUAUAUAUAGCAAUAACCAGCACCUGAAAUCUGGUGGUGUUUGUGCCACAAGCGAUUGAUCAUGUGAAGUCAUCACCUGAUGCCAUUUUAAAUUCCUGUAUUCACUAGGUUUGGGGGGAUUUUUUUUUAUGUUUUUUUUUUGUUUGUUUUAAAACUUCAAACACUGUUUCCCCAAGUUGGAACUUGUGUUGUUAGCCAGCUAGUUUUUGUUGAAGACUGACUAACUAGCGUGUACUGCCUACUCUGACGGUUUGGUAUGGAUAUUACAACUCAUACAAUGAACGGAAAGAUAGCUUAAAAUCCUAAACAAUUUAGUCAUCUGUUUUUUAUUACUUAUAAUUUCAGGAUCUGACUUUACUAUCCUUGGCAUUUAUAUAAUACCUCCCACCCAAUGAUCUCACUGUAUCAACUCGAAGCUUCACAAACACCCCAAUGAGGUAGGAAAGUAUUAGCUUCUGGGAGAAGAAGGAUGGGCUUAUGCUUAAAGUAACUAUGGCUCUAGAGAUCUGAUUUCAAUUCCUAGCUUUGCCACAAACGCCUUGUGUGAUCUUCCACAAGAACUUUCUGUGCCCCAGUUCUCCAUCAGUAAAGUGGGGGUAAUAGUACAUCCCUUGUCUAUUUAGAUUCUAUAUGGGACAAAUUCUCUUACUAUGUGUUUGUACAGCGCCUAGCAUAAUGGAGCUUCGAUAUCAGUUGAGGCCUCUAGGUGCUAGUGCAAUAUAAACAAUAAUAAUCUCUAUUUUAGAGAUGAUGAGCUGAGAGACAAAGUUGAAUUGACUUGUCCAAACUCUCUCAACAAGCUAAUGCCAGAGCUAGGAACUGAACCCAGAUUUCCUGACUCCCAAGUUAAUGCCUUAACCGCAGGGUCAUCCUUCCAUGUAAUAACCAUUCUUCUGAGUUUAUUUUUCAUUUUUUCUUUCCUCAAACUUCAUGCAACUUUUUGGCACCUGUCUAUGUAAGGCGGGGAAAUCAAAAUAUAUGGCCCCUGAAAGACAUUCCAGUCACUUUGCAAAGACUCCUGUAUUCCUGGUAUUUUAACGAGAUUUGCAUUGAGUCAAAAAAGACAUGAGAAACUAGUUCCCAGGAGAAGGGUUUGUGUUGAAAGGCGGCCGUAUUAACACAGUGUUACUUCGCAAAAAUAUCAGGAGUUGUUCAUUGGCUCACCUGAUUUAUUUACCAUGUAAAAUUAAAAUAAAUGGAAGAAAUUUGAAAGGGUGGAGAGCAGUGAUAGAAUUUCUUUGUGUUGUGGCAGGCGUCAGUGGGUGGCGCUGUUAUACAAUCUUCCAGUUUCUUUUUCGUAGUGCGCAAAGGAGUUUUGACUCUUGCGAAGCCAUGAGGUGGAGGUGUUGGAUUUUCGGUUACACAUAGAUUUGCCUAGACUUGGCAGCUUUGGGAGAGGUGGAGCGGUAUAAGCAGUGGGAAACUUUGUUCUCUGCCUUGGGCUCUGAUCUGAAUAUUUCUUGAGGCAGAGUUGCUCACUGGACAUUGAUAUUGGACUGAGAUUCCUAGAAGGGGUUGCCCUGUGUGCUGUUUCACCGUCUUAUUUCAGAACUGGUGUGUGUGUGUGUGUGUGUGUGUGUGUGUGUGUGUAAAGCAAGUUACAUUUAGAAUAUACCCCACCCUCUAUGUCACUGAUUUCUCCUCCACUGGGAAGCCAAAUUGGAAAGCCCCAGCAUUCUGCUAUCGCUCAGCUCGAUUGGGUUAAGUGUGCAGGUGCUAGGUGGUGGUUGUGGCCUGUGAGGUACAGGAGGUCAGACUAGAUGAUGGAAUGGUCCCUUCUGACCUUACACUCUAUGACACUGGCAUCAGAAUGGAAUGCUGGGAAUUCCUACAUGUCACUUCCCACCUCACUUCCUUUAAACCCUGGUGUGAAAAAUACAGCAAUGUCCUUGAAAAAUAUUAUUGCCUUUAUUAAAUUAAGUAUCUUCAGUGUCCAUUGUAUUAAUAAAAAGUGUAUGUAUUAUUGUG